rnacentral:rRNA from 1 species
AUUAUGAGAGUUUGAUCCUGGCUCAGGACGAACGCUGGCGGCGUGCCUAAUACAUGCAAGUCGAACGCUUCUUUCCUCCCGAGUGCUUGCACUCAAUUGGAAAGAGGAGUGGCGGACGGGUGAGUAACACGUGGGUAACCUACCCAUCAGAGGGGGAUAACACUUGGAAACAGGUGCUAAUACCGCAUAACAGUUUAUGCCGCAUGGCAUAAGAGUGAAAGGCGCUUUCGGGUGUCGCUGAUGGAUGGACCCGCGGUGCAUUAGCUAGUUGGUGAGGUAACGGCUCACCAAGGCCACGAUGCAUAGCCGACCUGAGAGGGUGAUCGGCCACACUGGGACUGAGACACGGCCCAGACUCCUACGGGAGGCAGCAGUAGGGAAUCUUCGGCAAUGGACGAAAGUCUGACCGAGCAACGCCGCGUGAGUGAAGAAGGUUUUCGGAUCGUAAAACUCUGUUGUUAGAGAAGAACAAGGACGUUAGUAACUGAACGUCCCCUGACGGUAUCUAACCAGAAAGCCACGGCUAACUACGUGCCAGCAGCCGCGGUAAUACGUAGGUGGCAAGCGUUGUCCGGAUUUAUUGGGCGUAAAGCGAGCGCAGGCGGUUUCUUAAGUCUGAUGUGAAAGCCCCCGGCUCAACCGGGGAGGGUCAUUGGAAACUGGGAGACUUGAGUGCAGAAGAGGAGAGUGGAAUUCCAUGUGUAGCGGUGAAAUGCGUAGAUAUAUGGAGGAACACCAGUGGCGAAGGCGGCUCUCUGGUCUGU